AUACGGAGGAUGCAAGCGUUAUCCGGAUUUAUUGGGUUUAAAGGGUGCGUAGGCGGUUUGCUAAGCGGGAGGUGAAAUGCCGGCGCUCAACGUCGGAAGUGCCUCCCGAACUGGUGGACUUGAAUGACUCUGCCGUGGGAGGAAUGUGUAGUGUAGCGGUGAAAUGCUUAGAGAUUACACAGAACACCGAUUGCGAAGGCAUCUCACGAAGGGUUGAUUGACGCUGAGGCACGAAAGCGUGGGGAUCAAAUAGGAUUAGAUACCCUGGUAGUCCACGCAGUAAACGAUGAUGGCUAACCGCUGGGCUUAUCAGUUCAGUGGCCAAGCGAAAGCGAUAAGCCAUCCACCUGGGGAGUACGACCGCAAGGUUGAAACUCAAAUGAAUUGACGGGG
rnacentral:rRNA from 1 species